UUUCUUAUUAUAUCCAUUAGGCCUGAAACUGAUCCGAAUAUGCGGGAAAUUUAGGAUACUCGGAUUCGGAUCUGUCGGAUUUAAUAUCUGGAAACGGACUCGUAGUUUUCGGAUAUCAAGAUUUUGGAUAUCCGUCUAGAUAUUAUAUUAUCCGCAGGUAUCCGAAUUCAGAUAAGAAUGCAUAAAAAUAAUUAAAAAAUAUUUUGUUUAAAAUACUAAUUUAAAAAAAAAAAUUCUUAAAUUGAAUAUUUAUACAAGAAUUAUAUAUAGAUAUAUAUGUGUGUGUAUAAUAUUGUAAAAAUUGAAAUAUAAUAUUAUAAAAUUAAUUAAUUUAUAAAUAUUAUUAUAUCAAUAAAUAUUAAAUUUAAUCUUUUAAUAUAUUUUCAAAAUUUGGAUCCGGAUCCGGAUAUUUGACCUAAAAAUUUAGAUAUCCGGAUUUGGAUUUGAGGGAUCCAAGAUUUUACUAUCCAAAUUUAGAUCUGAUCAUCACAAAUAUACUAUUUUCGGAGCAGAUCUGGAGCGAAUCUCGGAUCAGAUCCGUAUCCCAGAUAAUAUUCCUAGGCCUAAUAUCCACAUCGUCAAGAAAAAUAAUAUAUAUUGUAUUUUUGUAUAUAUAUAACCAAUUAGAAUGAAUAUUAAUAUAUUUUUUGAAACACAAAUUGUUUUGGAAAAUAAUAUAGAUCAUAGUUUUGCAAAUGAACAAGUUAAUAUUUCAAUGCUAAAUUAUUAACAUCAUUUUUUUUUGUUUUCUUAUAAUUCAAAUAUAAUUCGGUAGAUUAUAUGAGAAAAACUUCAUAUUAAUAUUUUUUUAAACUAAGGUAAUGUUAACUAAUUACAUUAUUCGAUAGUUUAUAGUCUAAGCAUGAGAUUUCAUAAAAAUUAACAUAUUUUAAAUAUAUUUUAAUUGGUAUAUGUAAAUAAGAAAAACAUAUUAAUCUACAAAAUGGGCAUUCACUUGUUGGUGGUAAAAUGCUAAAACAGUAAAAAAAAAAAAAAAAUCAAAGCCCAAUUACCAAGUUAACUAAUUUAGCGUAGGAAAAAGAAAAAUAAAAAACGUUAGAUUAACGUUCAUUAAAAAAAAAACUCACAUCGCCAUCUAAACAAUGAUAUGUAGGGUUUCGAUGUUCCAUGUUCAUCAACGAUUUAAAUUCUUUCCAAACUUUCAAGAUGCUAUCAAUCGUGAAAUUGAUAGAAUCAAGGUAUUGACUUCUUAAUUUUUCGUUGUGAAAGCUGUACCAGGUUGAUCCUCUGUUUGAUAUUGGGUUUACUUGCAGAUGUAAGAACUUGAGACAUAUAACAAACAGAAGUAGACAUUAAAGAUAUCAAAAUUAAGACUAUUUGGAGAUCGGUGGUCCAUUGCAAAGAUUGGUGAUGUAAUGGACAGAGUGGUCGUAUUAAGUUGUUAUCUCGAGAGAGGAGCAAAUCCAUCACUGUAAAGAAGAUGAACCCCACAUGAAAGUCUAAGAAAAAGAAACUUAUCAAAAUAAUUGUUCUUCGAUGAAAGAAUAAGAAAGAUAUGGAGCAUGAAGAAAAGGGUAAAAAAAUAACGGCUCACAUGAAGAUCCAAACUGAAUCUGAGGCAAGAGUUGCAUCAAGGGAACUCUUCCAAAAAGUUGUCAAGCGCCAGGAGCAGAGUUCAUUAAACUGGGUGACUUUGAUGCUUCCUUUCAGAAACUGAUGCCUAGUCAGAGGAUGAAACAACCCGAAUCACUUGCAAAUCUCAGACUACAAUUGAUGGUAAAUGAGACAACCCAAAUGAGUGCGCUUCUCUGCAACAUUUGAUGGUAAUCACGGUUAGUACUCUAUUUUAAGGUUUUAACUCAUAUAAGAAUGGUUGAGUGAAUCAUUACCUUAGUAAUAUAUGUUUGGUUUUAAUUGAUUAAGUGAUGCAUACGUGAAUGAUUGUGUUAUAUAUAACUUAAAAAUUAAAGCAAAAUCACUUCAAAUAGCUCAAUGGAAAUGAUUUGGUGUGUCAAAAAAAAAGGAAAAGCGUACUUAUAUAAAAUAAAUGUUCGAUAAUAAGACUUGCAAAAUGUUGUUCACAUACCCUCUACUCUACGUGUGGGUAUUUGAAACCUACAUGUAACAGAACAAAAUUAAUAUAUUUUUUAUUAUAAUUAUCUUUCUACAACAUACAAUGAAACACGCAUAGAAACAUUCCAAAAUUGAACACACAGCUACGUAAAACAUGGAUUAUAAGAAUAGAUUAAAGUCACCCUACAAAGAAAUAAUGAUAUUCGUAAUAGAUCAACUCGCAUAUAAAGUGCUAAAACGUAUUCUUUGAAAAAAUCUUAAAGUUUCAUUGUCUGACACCAUUUCAAGCAUCUUGCCUCCGGUAUGACGUGUUUCUUUUCCACGAAUGAAUCAAUUUAACGUGAACUCUCUAUCCAGUUUUAAAAGAUUUGGCUUUUUUGAGAAGAGUAAAACUGAAAAACUGAUAAUUUCAGACAUGUUUAGGUUGUUGAGUGAAUAAGAAUGAGUAUUGACGGUAGAGGAAUGGGAUAUCUCACAAUACUAAAAGCUCUUGAGCUAGAGCAUUGAGACUAUCCACGUAGGACUGAAAAUUCAGGCUAACCAGGGACCUCUAAAUUGACAAGUCAUUAAAACAAUAUACAUAUCACCAAAUCACUUUUCUCUGUCACCUUUUCACGUCAAUUCCAAUCCCUCCUUGGUCUUCUUCCGCUUCGUCUGCCUCUGCAAACCAACACUUUCACCGGUUACAAAUCCUUUACUCCUUAUUAUUCUUUUGAGCUUUCCUCUCUUUCCUUCCUCACUAUAUAAGAGUGGUAGAUUCACGAAAAAUUCCUCUCACUAGAACCACCAGAGCUCUUCAUCGCCUCCGGGGAAAACAGAGUAGUUAGCAAGGCCGUUUAGUUUUAGUCCCAUCACUUUACCUCUGUAUACAGUUUUCUGUAAAAAUAAUUACUCCUUAAUAUUUGGUAAGUCACUCACCGCCUUGCUCCUGGUACGUGCAAAGCAUCACUUAAGCUUUGAAAAGUUUUCUUUGAAAAGUGUUCUUGGGAGUUGUCUGUGAUCUUUUUCUUUUUGAUCAUUUAUGAUAUUGUGAGAUUGUUAGGAACAAGAAACAACAAACGGUUGAGAAAAUGGAGGGAGAUGGAGGAGUUCGAGCUCCAUCACUGGUGGAGCUUACGGUUGAGGAUUCUGAGUUUACGGUUGUUGGACGUGUAAAAGGAGGAGAUGAAGCUUUACAUGACAGGAUUCGUCAUCUGGUUUCUCAGGUUUUCUAAUUCUCAAUCUCUGUUUUGAUGAUAAAACAAUCCAUACGAAUGGACCAACUGAAAAUGGGCAAAUUGAUUUCAAGGAGAUGUAAUCUUAACACAAUUUCAAGGUUUGCAUAGCGCAAGAACGACGUUCGAGCAAUCCCCGCUUCAUCUGGCCAUCACUUUGUCUUCUAAUGCUAUGACUCCAAGGUUGAAGCAAGCUCAUUGAAUGAAGAAAGUGUCACUGCCACAGAAGAUUUGGAUGAGCAUGCUAAUGAAGAGGAAGAGGUGGAGUAAAUUGUUUGGCAGCAGCGAUGUCACCCCUGUGAGGAAAGUUAAAUAUAUGAUGAGGU